rnacentral:lncRNA from 1 species
CAUUUAAAGUACUGACGCAUUUGCGCUAUGGUGUCUUAUACCAUAGGUUCUGAGACAUGAGCUCCAGAGCAACAGUAGAUUCCAGAUAUCCAUAGACAGAGUUUGAAGUGAGUCCUCAUCUUUUGAGGAAAUGAUUAUUUCCCUAUUAUCUCAUUAAUCAGUUUAUUAGUUGGAGUUAGUUGGGGACAUGUCCCAUUAACUCCUUACUCAGACAGUUCAGUUAGUUAGAGGCUUU